rnacentral:rRNA from 1 species
UACGUAGGGGGCAAGCGUUGUUCGGAUUUAUUGGGCGUAAAGAGCUCGUAGGCGGUUUGGUAAGUCAGGUGUGAAAUCUCCACGCUCAACGUGGAGGGGCCACCUGAUACUGCCAUGACUGGAGUCCGGUAGAGGAGUGUGGAAUUCCCGGUGUAGCGGUGGAAUGCGCAGAUAUCAGGAGGAACACCAAUGGCGAAGGCAGAUCUCUGGGCCGUAACUGACGCUGAGGAGCGAAAGCAUGGGGAGCGAACAGG